rnacentral:rRNA from 1 species
UACGAGGGGUGCAAGCGUUGCUCGGAAUUAUUGGGCGUAAAGGGCAGGUAGGUGGUCUCGUUUGUCUGGGGUGAAAUCCUUGGGCUUAACCCAAGAAGUGCCUCGGAAACGGCGAGACUGGAGUACUGGAGAGGGUCGUGGAAUACCCGGUGUAGCGGUGAAAUGCGUAGAGAUCGGGUGGAACACCAGAGGCGAAGGCGGCGACCUGGACAGUAACUGACACUCAACUGCGAAAGCGUGGGGAGCAAACAGG